GACAGAGGGUGCAAACGUUGCUCGGAAUUACUGGGCGUAAAGCGCGUGUAGGCGGUUCCGCAAGUCAGGUGUGAAAGCCCAGGGCUCAACCCUGGGAUGCCGGUCGAUACUGCCGGACUAGAGUUCGGAAGAGGCGAGUGGAAUUCCCGGUGUAGCGGUGAAAUGCGCAGAUAUCGGGAGGAACACCUAUGGCGAAGGCAGCUCGCUGGGACGUUACUGACGCUGAGACGCGAAAGCGUGGGGAGCGAACAGG
rnacentral:rRNA from 1 species